AUAGUUUGAUUCUAGCUAUCAUGUUACUUUAUACUAUGCAAGUACAUGAAAAAAAUAUGCACCCUAAUUUCAUAUGUCUAAAAGAUAUUAUACCAUUUUAAAAUUAAUUAAAAAAUGAAGUGCCUCAGUACAUAAUACUAUAACAAUCAAAUAAUGAGUAAUGGUAAUAGUAAAAAGAGCCGGCAAAAUUCGUGCCAGCCGCCGCGGUUAGACGAUAGGCUUUUAAUAACAUUUAAAGGCUAAAUGUAAAAUCAAUGAUGAAUUAAAAAAUUAAUGAGGUUCAAUUCAGACCAUUUUAGUUUCACUGUCAUCAUUAUUAUAAACAUAAAACCAUAAAUAAAAACAAGGAUUAGAUACCCUUCUAUUUAUGUCAUACUUAAAGCCGGAUAAUACGAACAAUAGUUUAAAAUCCAAAGAACUUGGCGGUAUCUUAUAAAAUCAGGGGAACCUGUCACUUAAUUCGAUAAUCCACGAAUAUCAUCACCUUUUUUUGAAUAACCGCCUGUGUACUGCUGUCGUCAGUAAACCUUUAAAAGAUAGUUUACAAUUAUAUAAACCAUAUUCACGUCAAGUCAAAGUGCAGCUAAUAUAAAGGGGUAGAUGGGUUACAAUCUAAAUAAAGAUACGGAAGCAGCCAUAAAUAAUUGCUAAAGGUGGACUUGAUAGUAAUGACCUGCAAUCAUGAAUAUAUAUCUAAGAUAUGCACACAUCGCCCGUCACUCUCGUCUAAAGAUGAGAAAAGUCGUAACAAAGUAGGCAUAACGGAAGUUGUGCCUGU
rnacentral:ncRNA from 1 species